rnacentral:lncRNA from 1 species
CCCACUGCCAGAGCCUCUCCGUCCAGAGCUCACCGGAACGCGCCGCAGUCGCCAAGCCGGUGAGAAGAGGAGGACGCUGGGCCGUUUUCCAGAUCAAACGCUCCUCCCUUUGGAGGAAGGACUCGAGGUUGCUUUGGCAGCUUUUGCAGACAGGCGCACAGCGGCUGCAGAAAAGCCUCCCCCACGGGGGCCCCGAUCCACAGGCCCGACCAGCGCGGCGGAGAAGGCAGAGGCUCUCGGGGGCACCGCGGGGGCCCCAGGAAGCCUCGGGCGCGGGUCCGAGCGGGGCUGAGGCGCCGCGAUCCCCAGAAGCCGGAGGAGCCCGGGCGGAGCGCCGAGACUUGACGCCGACACAAGGGAAAACCUAGAGGAGAGCAAACGGAGACGGACUUCCGCUUCCGGUUUCCGCCCCGCGCUCAACGAAGCUCAUCAAAGGCCUUUCGACUGGCCUUUCUCGUGAUUUCUUCAGCCCGAUGCAGCGGUGUGCACAUGUUAGCAAAGGAGGUCAUCAAGAAGGUGUGACUGCCAGUUGAUACUCAGCUGAACCCAGACAAUCGGAGGCUCCCCACUUCGUCCCCUGUCCUUGGAGUAUGCAUUCUGCUUGCCUUCCCUGUUUCCAGAAACUGCCCCAAAUUCAGCCUUGAGAUAGAAAUGUGGUGCUGAGACUAUCUAGAUGGUGUAUGCGUGAUGGAACUCAGUUAAGGCCUCUGUAUAAACUUAAAGAUUUGCUGGGCAGGUGCAGAUUUGCUGUAUAAAGAUUUGCUGUAUAAAGAUUUGCUGGGCAGGUGCAGAAAACUACUCAUCUUGCAGCCGCCCAGACGAGCCUCGUAAGUAAGUUCCCUUACUCAUUAGAACUGCCACCUCCCAGUCUGGAGUGGUUUCUCUCUUUCUUUGGUCUCUUCUUGCCCUCUGAGUGUGGGGGCUGGUUUUAGAUUACACCCAAGAAGCUCCCAAGGAGACGGCAAACCAACACCAUUGAGUCUAAAAUUAUUUCAAAAUAAAGUUUUUAAAAUUCUAUUAUGAUUAAUUUGGGGUACUGUUCAACCUUUGGCAUGUGUCUAAAAUGCCUGCUUGACAUCUCCACUACUGUGAGAAUCGUGUUAAUUUUGAGAUGCCCAAAACUAAAUUCGUGAUUUCUCCCAAUACCCACUCCUACCCAGUCUUACCCCAUUUCAAUAAAUGACAAUUCCAUUAUUGCAGUUGCUCAAGCCAAAAUCCUUAGCAUCGUCUUUCAUGCUUUUUUUUCUCUCAUAGCCCACAUGUAAUCUACCACAAAAGUCUGUCAAUUCUACAUUCAGAAUAUAUAAAGAAUACACAAAAUAGGUUUACAAUUCGUUCACAUCUCACCACGUUUAGUGCUAGCACUGGACUUCAGGCCUUAUCUGUUUCAGCAGCUAGCGUUGCCUUAUCUAGUAGAUGGAUGGAUGGAUGGACGGACGGAUGGCUGGAUGGAUAGAUAGAUAUCCUUGUGGUACUUGUGGUAUAUGUUUCUAGACUAGGUAUCAAGAGGGG